AACCGGCAUCGUCACUACAGAAUAUAAAAGUGCAAGUUAGUAACCCACGCUAUCGCAACCCCGCUCAAAUAAAUAAAACCCAAAUCAUGUGAAAGUAAGGAAGUGUCCUUCACUACUAACUCCCGAUGUUACGUUGUCGGCCGCCAACGUAACCCUCCGCGAAGUUAGAAGCCAUACACUCCGAUCAAACUCUAACUUUUUAGAGUUAUCAUAAACCCAAUCACAAUACUUUCGCUCACAAGUCAUUAGUCCUCGUCUCUCACGAGCCUAAUUCCUAUAGUCCAACCGGCC
rnacentral:lncRNA from 1 species